AGGACGCAGCCACCGCCCACCCCGCCGGGCCCGACGGCAGCCGCCAGAGCCCCAGCCGGCCGGAGAGCACCGAGACGCCGGCUCUCGCAGCGCCCCCUGCCGAGCCGCCCCCUCGUCCCCCGCGGGCCGGGAGGACUCGGCUUCACCCCCGGGGCUUCCAGCUGACUUUGACUUGGCUUCUCAGCCCGCCGGUAGGGGCAACGACCAGCGGCCUUCCCACGGCGCCCACUCCCCCGGCCUGCUCUGCGCGCCAGAAGCGCUCCCCCGCUGGGAAGGCGGCGUAGGUGCGCGAGGUUGAGGAAACCGAAGCUCAGAGAGGACAAACGACUUACCCAAGGUCACAAGCCUGAGAUGAUAAGAAUCUGAACCACGUCUGCUGACGCCAGAGUCCAGCUGUCUCCCACCUUUCUGCACUGCCCACUAGACUCUAAAUGUCAGCGUCAGGCCGGGCUCGUUCCUGUAGCUGCCACUUCACAAGUCCAUGGAUCUACUGGGAAUUUCCAACUCCCUGCUCAGGGCCUGCCUGCCUGCUUCCUGCCUUGCCCUGCUGGCCACCCGCCCAUUCUCCAUUGUCUGCUGGCCCACCUGAUCCACGAAGCUGAUGGCGUCCCGGAUGUUGAGUCUGUAAUACACAUCCCAGAUCUGGUCCCGGAUGCGGUAGGCUGAGCGCCGCAUCAACAGCUGACUCAGGCCGAGAGUCAAAGUCACAGUGGACCACAAGGCGGCUGGAGUCUGGAGGUGCCAGACCACGCAGGGCAGGGCCGGGCAGGCCUCACUGGGGAACCUUGUCUUAUCCUGAGAGUACGGGGACACCAGCACUGCCUGAGGGGCUUCAGGGACAGGUCACCCAGCCUGCACCUUGAUGUGACCCUUCUCAGAAGUGUGGCAUGUCCCCCAUGCUGCCCUGGCUGGGGGGGGAGGGGGUGCUUCUGCUGCUGCUGAAGGAGCCUGGGGGCAGC